AGUGAACGCUGGCGGUAGGCCUAACACAUGCAAGUCGAACGGCAGCACAGUAAGAGCUUGCUCUUACGGGUGGCGAGUGGCGGACGGGUGAGGAAUACAUCGGAAUCUACUUUUUCGUGGGGGAUAACGUAGGGAAACUUACGCUAAUACCGCAUACGACCUACGGGUGAAAGCAGGGGAUCUUCGGACCUUGCGCGACUGAAUGAGCCGAUGUCGGAUUAGCUAGUUGGCGGGGUAAAGGCCCACCAAGGCGACGAUCCGUAGCUGGUCUGAGAGGAUGAACAGCCACACUGGAACUGAGACACGGUCCAGACUCCUACGGGAGGCAGCAGUGGGGAAUAUUGGACAAUGGGCGCAAGCCUGAUCCAGCCAUACCGCGUGGGUGAAGAAGGCCUUCGGGUUGUAAAGCCCUUUUGUUGGGAAAGAAAAGCAGCAGGUUAAUACCCCGCUGUUCUGACGGUACCCAAAGAAUAAGCACCGGCUAACUUCGUG
rnacentral:rRNA from 1 species